CCAUUGCCCUAUCCCAUCAAAGGUUUCUGAGGUUUGCCGUGGAAGAGGGUCAUUUCCAGUUCAGAGCACUCCCGUUUGGACUAAGCACAGCCCCAAGGACGUUCACAAAAGUGUUGGUAGUUCUGAUUGCAGAACUAAGAAAGCUGAAUAUCGCUAUCUAUCAUUAUUUGGACGACAUCCUGAUUAUAGGAAACAGCGAAGAUUCAUUGACCUCCCAAGCUAUUACCAGCAUUCAGUUUCUGCAAGCCCACGGCUGGAAGAUCAACACCAAGAAGAGCCACCUCCACCCAACUCAAUGUAUGAUUUAUUUAGGUGCUCA